UUGGGCGUAAAGCGAGCGCAGGCGGUUGCUUAGGUCUGAUGUGAAAGCCUUCGGCUUAACCGAAGAAGUGCAUCGGAAACCGGGCGACUUGAGUGCAGAAGAGGACAGUGGAACUCCAUGUGUAGCGGUGGAAUGCGUAGAUAUAUGGAAGAACACCAGUGGCGAAGGCGGCUGUCUGGUCUGCAACUGACGCUGAGGCUCGAAAGCAUGGGUAGCGAACAGGAUUAGAUACCCUGGUAGUCCAUGCCGUAAACGAUGAGUGCUAGGUGUUGGAGGGUUUCCGCCCUUCAGUGCCGGAGCUAACGCAUUAAGCACUCCGCCUGGGGAGUACGACCGCAAGGUUGAAACUCAAAGGAAUUGACGGGGGCCCGCACAAGCGGUGGAGCAUGUGGUUUAAUUCGAAGCUACGCGAAGAACCUUACCAGGUCUUGACAUCUUGCGCUAACCUUAGAGAUAAGGCGUUCCCUUCGGGGACGCAAUGACAGGUGGUGCAUGGUCGUCGUCAGCUCGUGUCGUGAGAUGUUGGGUUAAGUCCCGCAACGAGCGCAACCCUUGUUACUAGUUGCCAGCAUUAAGUUGGGCACUCUAGUGAGACUGCCGGUGACAAACCGGAGGAAGGUGGGGACGACGUCAGAUCAUCAUGCCCCUUAUGACCUGGGCUACACACGUGCUACAAUGGACGGUACAACGAGUCGCAAGCUCGCGAGAGUAAGCUAAUCUCUUAAAGCCGUUCUCAGUUCGGACUGUAGGCUGCAACUCGCCUACACGAAGUCGGAAUCGCUAGUAAUCGCGGAUCGGCAUGCCGCGGUGAAUACGUUCCCGGGCCUUGCACACACCGCCCGUC
rnacentral:rRNA from 1 species